UACGUAGGGUGCGAGCGUUGUCCGGAAUUACUGGGCGUAAAGGGCGCGUAGGCGGCCACCGCAAGUCGACUGUGAAAUCUCCGGGCUUAACCCGGAAAGGUCAGCCGAUACUGCGGGGCUAGAGUGCAGAAGGGGCAACUGGAAUUCUCGGUGUAGCGGUGAAAUGCGUAGAUAUCGAGAGGAACACCUGCGGCGAAGGCGGGUUGCUGGGCUGACACUGACGCUGAGGCGCGAAAGCUAGGGGAGCGAACGGG
rnacentral:rRNA from 1 species